rnacentral:lncRNA from 1 species
AUGCUAAAAAUUAUUAUUCCAGCAAUUAUACUGUUACCAAUGGCAUGGUUCUCUAAAAAUUCUAUAAUCUGAAUCAAGAUGGUUAUCCACAGCCUACUCAUCAGCCUCAUCAGCCUACUAUUUUUUAACCAAUUCAAUGAUAACUCAUCCAACUUCUCAUUAGUUUUCUCUUCUGACCAGCUGACAUCACCCCUUCUAAUCUUAACAGCCUGACUACUGCCUCUUAUAAGUCUAGCAAGCCAAUAUCACCUGUCCAAUGAAUCACUCCCAUGAAAAAAGCUCUAUAUUUUUAUAUUGAUCUCCCUACAGCCUUUUUUUUUUUUUUUUUUGAGACAGAGUUUCGCUCUGUCGCCCAGGCAGACAGAGUGCAGUGGCGCGAUCUCGGCUCACUGCAAGCUCCACUUCCCGGGUUCACGCCAUUCUCCUGCCUCAGCCUCCCGAGUAGCUGGGACUACAGGCACCUGCCAUGGCGCCCGGCUAAUUUUCUGUAUUUUUAGUAGAGGCGGGGUUUCACCAUGUUAGCCAGGAUAGUCUCGAUCUCCUGACCUCUUGAUCCACCCGCCUCGGCCUCCCGAAGUGCUGGGAUUACAGGGGUGAGCCACCGUGCCCGGCCCCUACAGACUUUUAAAAUCCUAACAUUCACAGCCACAGAACUAACUAUGUUUUAUAUCCUCUUUGAAGCCACGCUAGUUCCUACCGUAAUUAUCAUCACCCGCUGAGGCAACCAACCAGAAUGCCUUAAUGCAAGCUCAUACUUCUUAUUUUACACACUAGUAGGAUCCCUUCCUCUACCUGUAGCAUUUGUUCAUACUUAAAAUACCUCAGGUUCACUAAAUAUGCUAGUAAUAAUACUUACUACCCAAGGGCUAUUAACCACCUGAUCCAACAACCUUAUUUAU